GAUGAACGCUAGCUACAGGCUUAACACAUGCAAGUCGAGGGGCAGCACGGAGAUAGCUUGCUAUCCUGGGUGGCGACCGGCGCACGGGUGAGUAACGCGUAUCCAACCUGCCCAUUACUCUGGGAUAGCCUUGCGAAAGUAAGAUUAAUACCGGAUGUUGUUAAAAACCCGCAUGAGUUUUUAACCAAAGAUUUAUUGGUAAUGGAUGGGGAUGCGUGACAUUAGGUAGUUGGUGAGGUAACGGCUCACCAAGCCUACGAUGUCUAGGGGUUUUGGGAGGAAGGUCCCCCACACUGGAACUGAGACACGGUCCAGACUCCUACGGGAGGCAGCAGUGAGGAAUAUUGGUCAAUGGACGAGAGUCUGAACCAGCCAAGUAGCGUGCAGGACGACGGCCCUCUGGGUUGUAAACUGCUUUUAGUUGGGAAUAAAAAGAGGGACGUGUCCCUAAUUGUAUGUACCAUCAGAAAAAGGACCGGCUAAUUCCGUGCCAGCCGCCGCAGUAAAAC
rnacentral:rRNA from 1 species